UACGGGGGGGGUAAGCGUUGUUCGGAAUUACUGGGCGUAAAGGGCUCGUAGGCGGCCAACUAAGUCAUACGUGAAAUCCCUCAGCUUAACUGGGGAACUGCGUGUGAUACUGGAUGGCUUGGAUUUGGGAGAGGGAUGCGGAAUUCCUGGUGUAGCGGUGAAAUGCGUAGAUAUCAGGAGGAAUACCGGUGGCGAAAGCGACUCUCUGGACGGCAACUGACGCUGAGGCACGAAAGCGUGGGGAGCAAACAGG
rnacentral:rRNA from 1 species